rnacentral:rRNA from 1 species
GACGAACGCUGGCGGCGUGCUUAACACAUGCAAGUCGAACGGAAAGGCCCUGCUUUUGUGGGGUGCUCGAGUGGCGAACGGGUGAGUAACACGUGAGUAACCUGCCCUUGACUUUGGGAUAACUUCAGGAAACUGGGGCUAAUACCGGAUAGGAGCUCCUGCUGCAUGGUGGGGGUUGGAAAGUUUCGGCGGUUGGGGAUGGACUCGCGGCUUAUCAGCUUGUUGGUGGGGUAGUGGCUUACCAAGGCUUUGACGGGUAGCCGGCCUGAGAGGGUGACCGGCCACAUGGGGACUGAGAUACGGCCCAGACUCCUACGGGAGGCAGCGGUGGGGAAUAUUGCACAAUGGGCGGAAGCCUGAUGCAGCAACGCCGCGUGCGGGAUAACGGCCUUCGGGUUGUAAACCGAUUUCGCCUGUGACGAAGCGUGAGUGACGGUAAUGGGUAAAGAAGCACCGGCUAACUACGUG